UAAUCUCACUAUGAUCGACUUUUGUCUUUUGUAUGUGGACUUGGAUGUUGCCGUGAAUAACAAACGGCUCAUCUGAAAUGCCUGAGUGUACCCCGCUUUGCGGCGUAUUCGGUGUGAUACAUCUUCACCGGAGUUGAUCCUAACGGGUCGCGUCUGUAACAAGUGUGGCUCUAUGCUUCGAACCGUCUUCUGAUAGAGACAAUCUCUGACA
rnacentral:misc_RNA from 1 species